GUGUCAGCCGCCGCGGUAAGACGGAGGGCGCGAGCGUUGUUCGGAAUCACUGGGCGUAAAGCGCGCGCAGGCGGAUUCAGUAAGUCGGAAGUGAAAUUCCGGGGCUCAACUCCGGAACUGCUUCCGAGACUGCGAGUCUGGGGACCGGUAGAGGCGGGUGGAAUUCCCGGUGUAGCGGUGGAAUGCGUAGAGAUCGGGAAGAACACCGGUGGCGAAGGCGGCCCGCUGGGCCGGAUCCGACGCUGAGGCGCGAAAGCGUGGGGAGCAAACAGGAUUAGAAACCCCUGUAGUCC
rnacentral:rRNA from 1 species